AGUGAACGCUGGCGGUAGGCCUAACACAUGCAAGUCGAACGGCAGCACAGGAGAGCUUGCUCUCUGGGUGGCGAGUGGCGGACGGGUGAGGAAUACAUCGGAAUCUACUUUUUCGUGGGGGAUAACGUAGGGAAACUUACGCUAAUACCGCAUACGACCUACGGGUGAAAGCAGGGGAUCUUCGGACCUUGCGCGAUUGAAUGAGCCGAUGUCGGAUUAGCUAGUUGGCGGGGUAGAGGCCCACCAAGGCGACGAUCCGUAGCUGGUCUGAGAGGAUGAUCGGCCACACUGGAACUGAGACACGGUCCAGACUCCUACGGGAGGCAGCAGUGGGGAAUAUUGGACAAUGGGCGCAAGCCUGAUCCAGCCAUACCGCGUGGGUGAAGAAGGCCUUCGGGUUGUAAAGCCCUUUUGUUGGGAAAGAAAUCCAGCUGGUUAAUACCCGGUUGGGAUGACGGUACCCAAAGAACAAGCACCGGCUAACUUCGUGCCAGCCGCCGCGGUAA
rnacentral:rRNA from 1 species